UGUUCGGCUACAACGGGUUGGGCUGGCGCUUUACCAGUGCGCUACUGGGGGUACUCGCGAUAGCCCUGCUGGUGCGGAUCGUGCGCCGGAUGACC
rnacentral:tRNA from 1 species